rnacentral:rRNA from 1 species
UACAGAGGGUGCGAGCGUUAAUCGGAAUUACUGGGCGUAAAGCGUGCGUAGACGGUCAAGUAAGUCAGAUGUGAAAGCCCCGGGCUCAACCUGGGAAUUGCAUUUGAGACUGCGUAGCUAGGGUGCGGAAGAGGGAAGCGGAAUUUCCGGUGUAGCGGUGAAAUGCGUAGAUAUCGGAAGGAACACCAGUGGCGAAAGCGGCUUCCUGGUCCAGCACCGACGUUCAGGCACGAAAGCGUGGGGAGCAAACAGG